rnacentral:tRNA from 1 species
GUUUUGGUGGCUCAGAGGUUAAAGCAUCUGUCUCCAAUGCAGGAGACCCGGGUUCAGUUCCUGGGUUGGGGCG